GGCAGGUUGCCCGAGCGGCCAAUGGGAGCGGACUGUAAAUCCGUCGCGAAAGCUACGCAGGUUCGAAUCCUGCMCCUGCCACCA
rnacentral:tRNA from 1 species